CAGUAGCCGCGGUAAUACGUAGGUGGCAAGCGUUGUCCGGAAUUAUUGGGCGUAAAGGGCUCGCAGGCGGUUUCUUAAGUCUGAUGUGAAAGCCCCCGGCUCAACCGGGGAGGGUCAUUGGAAACUGGGAAACUUGAGUGCAGAAGAGGAGAGUGGAAUUCCACGUGUAGCGGUGAAAUGCGUAGAGAUGUGGAGGAACACCAGUGGCGAAGGCGACUCUCUGGUCUGUAACUGACGCUGAGGAGCGAAAGCGCGGGGAGCGAACAGGAUUAGAGACCCGCGUAGUCCCUGUCUCUUAUAC
rnacentral:rRNA from 1 species